UACGAAGGGGACUAGCGUUGUUCGGAAUUACUGGGCGUAAAGCGCACGUAGGCGGAUUCGUAAGUCAGGGGUGAAAUCCCGGGGCUCAACCUCGGAACUGCCUUUGAUACUGCGGAUCUCGAGUCCGAUAGAGGUGGGUGGAAUUCCUAGUGUAGAGGUGAAAUUCGUAGAUAUUAGGAAGAACACCGGUGGCGAAGGCGGCCCACUGGAUCGGUACUGACGCUGAGGUGCGAAAGAGUGGGGAGCAAACAGG
rnacentral:rRNA from 1 species